rnacentral:rRNA from 1 species
AGGGAAUAUUGCGCAAUGGGGGAAACCCUGACGCAGCGACGCCGCGUGAGCGAUGAAGGUCUUCGGAUCGUAAAGCUCUGUCCUUGGGGAAGAAGGCGAAAGCUUGACGGUACCCCCUGAGGAAGCCCCGGCUAACUACGUGCCAGCAGCCGCGGUAAGACGUAGGGGGCGAGCGUUGUCCGGAAUUACUGGGCGUAAAGGGCGUGUAGGCGGCUUUUCAAGUCGGCUGUGAAAUUCCCCGGCUUAACCGGGGGGGUGCAGUCGAAACUGAUGGGCUUGAGUGCAGGAGAGGGUGGUGGAAUUCCCGGUGUAGCGGUGACAUGCGUAGAUAUCGGGAGGAACACCGGUGGCGAAGGCGACCUCCUGGCCUGUUACUGACGCUGAGGCGCGAAAGCUGGGGGAGCAAACA